UGACGAGCUGCUCUGCUUGUCAGCUAAUGCCUGGCUGGCUGCAGAGGCACUCAAGGCAGCAGCAGCAGCCUACCACCCUCGGUUUGGGCUCUUGAAGUUCCCUCCAAACGCCGAGUGAACAUUACAGCUCCCAGGAGGGAGUAACCAAGGCUGUAAAGCCAAGUGCUAGAUGUGUGAGAUACAGAUGAGCCAGGUCUUGCCAAGAUCAGGUGCAGCUUGGGAGCACGUAAGAAGCCCAGAAAGAGCCCUGGUGUCCUGCUGAGCCCCUCCUGCCAGGAACAGGCUCCUUGGCUCACCUCCAUCAGGAGCAGAUCUUGGGGGGUGAAGAACCCCUGGGUGCACCCGUCUAGUGUCCCUGUUGCACCUCAGGGGGCUGUGCCUGCCCGUGCAAGAGCUGAAUUUGUCCUAUGGGCAGCGGUUUCACAGCAGCUAGCCUCUCUAAUCAGAGAUCAGGACUUCUGCUCCCAAGCCUGCUGUUGCUUUGCUGUGUGAAGAGCUGUUUAUCGUCUGGGCACAGUACUGUCCCAUCGAAGAAACAGCGUUUCCACGUUCAGCCCCAUUUAAUGAACGCAAGUUUUGCAAGAUCCAGCUUCAAAGGCAGACCACUGGCAAAGGAAGGGGAAGGGAAUUGACUGAUGUGGAAAAUCGCACACUCUGGGCUUUUUGCACUGAUUGAAAGGUGUUAACCCCUGCCUGGCCAGCAGCAGUGUCUGGGGGGGAGCAAAACACCCUGGUGUAAUAGGGCAAGGUCUGGAUGAGUCCAAAUUGUUUUCUUGCAGAAAAAUAGGAUUUUGAAACAUUCAUCUCCCAGUCACUUUUUAUGGAUUGUUUCCAUUUUUGUGAACAAAGGCAAACACGCUAAGAGGAAAAUGGUUUUAACCGUUCAGCUUCACUUUGAAUGUUUCAGAGAAAAAAAAGAAAAAGAAAAAGAAAAGAAACCUGAAGACAUAACCCUGGAGGUUUCUUUUACUUAAAACUUUGGAUUGCUCUAUUUGGAGUCCAAAAGAGAUUAUGCAACAAAAAUCAGCAGUUUGCACACAAGGAGAAAAGACACUCAUGCUCAGCUCAGUUAGCACCCUUACUCAUUAAUCAUUUUUUGCCACAGCAUUUUAGGGAAACAUAUGCAAUACUUCUCUUAGGAUACGUGUGCAGCCAUGAGCUGUUUAGCCUUGAUCUAACUCAACAGAUGCAGCCCCGUGCUCAUCUCACUGUGCAAAUUACACCUCUAGAAACGUUUUCAAAGUUUCUGUAUCUUCAGCUCUGAGAUUUCAGAGUGAUGCUCAUGGAAGUGAAUUCUCAUGAGACCAGAUGCUGCAAAAUUUAUAAUUGGAAAUGCACAGAGCCGUCAUGGCCUUCAUAUUGAGCUAAGCCCACAGAAAAG
rnacentral:lncRNA from 1 species